CGCGUGGGAAUCUGCCCAGUAGAGGGGGACAACAGUUGGAAACGACUGCUAAUACCGCAUAAGCCCUAAGGGGGAAAGCAGGGGAUCUUCGGACCUUGCGCUAUUGGAUGAGCCCGCGUGAGAUUAGAUAGUUGGUGGAGUAAAGGCCUACCAAGUCGACGAUCUCUAGCUGGUCUGAGAGGAUGAUCAGCCACACUGGGACUGAGACACGGCCCAGACUCCUACGGGAGGCAGCAGUGGGGAAUAUUGCACAAUGGGGGAAACCCUGAUGCAGCCAUGCCGCGUGUGUGAAGAAGGCUC
rnacentral:rRNA from 1 species